GGAUAGCUCAGCUGGUAGAGCAUCAGACUCUUAAUCUCAGGGUUGUGGGUUUGAGCACCACAUGGGACCA